AUUGAACGCUGGCGGCAGGCCUAACACAUGCAAGUCGAACGGUAACAGGAAGCAGCUUGCUGCUUUGCUGACGAGUGGCGGACGGGUGAGUAAUGUCUGGGAAACUGCCNGAUGGAGGGGGAUAACUACUGGAAACGGUAGCUAAUACCGCAUAACGUCGCAAGACCAAAGAGGGGGACCUUAGGGCCUCUUGCCAUCGGAUGUGCCCAGAUGGGAUUAGCUAGUAGGUGGGGUAACGGCUCACCUAGGCGACGAUCCCUAGCUGGUCUGAGAGGAUGACCAGCCACACUGGAACUGAGACACGGUCCAGACUCCUACGGGAGGCAGCAGUGGGGAAUAUUGCACAAUGGGCGCAAGCCUGAUGCAGCCAUGCCGCGUGUAUGAAGAAGGCCUUCGGGUUGUAAAGUACUUUCAGCGGGGAGGAAGGGAGUAAAGUUAAUACCUUUGCUCAUUGACGUUACCCGCAGAAGAAGCACCGGCUAACUCCGUG
rnacentral:rRNA from 1 species